AAUUGAGACGGUUGUCAAUUCUGGUGGAGGCGCCGGGUAAAUUAAAAGGCCCUUUUUUUAAACAUCUUUAACACCCUGUAUUUUAUUAACCAAUGGCUCAAAUUCACGAAAAAACUGUAGAUUUAACUAUAGAGAUAACGAACGUACGAUAAUAGCUGUAAAAUAGCCUCAGAAUCGUUUAAUAAAGUUUUCAAUUUUGGUGGAUGCGCCGGGAAAAGGUAAACUGCGCGAUUUCUGAAUUUUCGAAUUUUUGUAUUAGGAGAGCAUAAGUUACAUGGGAAAUUUGGACCUAGGGAUUUUUGAAACUAGAGGUUGGAUGAGCAAUUUAAGUUGGCAUUCUGAUCACGCUCCGGCAGUCAAAAUAAAGGGGCGGGGCAUGUCAAAAAGAUGAAAAAGGUCGAUUUUAACGUCUUUAAUAACAGUAAUUAGCACAUAUAAUUAACACAGAUUGAAACAAUAUGAUUAUCCGAUUCUACUGGUGUUCUUAGUUUUUGAAACAAUGUACUAAUAAUGCGAGAAAAACAACGAACAUGUUUAGAGGUUAUUUGGUUAUGUUUAUAUUGUUGUUGUGAACAUCUACAUCGGAAUUACCGUGAUUGUACCAACUCAUCAUUAUAAUAAGUGUUUUGCCUAUAAGUUUGUGUAAACUGCAUCAAAUGUACCCCUAUGAAUAGACAUGGUGAAGACUGUGACGAUAGCCUUUCCCAGUUAGCAAAACGAAACUAAGUCUUUUUUUACUGAUGGAAACAAUACAACUAUUGCAUCUUUAUCUUUUAGAAAGGAUCUGUUUUGCCAACGAUUCCUUCAGAACCUUCACUGAGAAGAUAUAAUGCAAUACAUAAACGUAACAAAAUUAUCAAAAAGUAUAGUCUCAAUUAGAGAUUUGGCAUUAUUACAUGGUAUUUUGCCAGAACGCUUGAAAGGCAGUGGUAGAAUUGGAUAUGAGGUCUCUUAAUGGAUUAUCUGCUUGAUGCUUCUGUUCAGGAUAUGCAUAUAAUAGAUUGCAAAGCAUUUACAUUGUUUACACUUUAAAACGACAGGUACUUUAUCUUAAGGAUUAUCGAGUGACUAUGCUAAUGAAUCAAUGGAUAGUUGCGACUGAUUACAAUAUUGAUACUAAAACAUAACAACAUACUAUUACCAAUUUCUGGCCUCAUAGCAUACAUUUGGUCUUGCUUUAAUUGCAUCUGGAGAAUUACGAACACCUCCAGAGAACAUGAAGACUACGCCACAAUUUAUAUCAUCAUAUGUUUACCUAAUUAUAACAGAAUAUCUUUCAAAAAUGAUUUAUAACUAAUUUUUAAAAUUUUUGUGUUAUACUCUUCAUAAAUUCUUUAAUGUCAUUGGU